rnacentral:rRNA from 1 species
UGCAGAAUCCCGUGAACCAUCGAGUUUUUGAACGCAAGUUGCGCCCGAAGCCAUUAGGCCGAGGGCACGCCUGCCUGGGCGUC